rnacentral:rRNA from 1 species
UACGUAGGAUGCGGGCGUGUCCGGAAUUAUUGGGCGUAAAGCGAACGUAGGCGGUUUCUUAAGAUUGGUCUUAAAGACCGGGGCUCAACCCCGGGAAUGGAUCGAUAACUGGGAGACUGGAGGACGUCAGAGGAAAGUGGAAUUCCGAGUGUAGCGGUGAAAUGCGUAGAUAUUCGGAGGAACACCAGUGGCGAAAGCGACUUUCUGGGACGUUCCUGACGCUGAGGUUCGAAAGCUCGGGGAGCAAACAGG